rnacentral:rRNA from 1 species
UACGGAGGGUGCAAGCGUUACCCGGGAUCACUGGGCGUAAAGGGCGCGUAGGCGGACAUACGAGUCCAUAGAUAAAGACUUUGGCUCAACCAAAGGGAAUCGAUGGAGACCGGAUGUCUAGAGGAUAGGAGAGGAGAGAGGAAUUCCCGGAGUAGCGGUGGAAUGCGUAGAGAUCGGGAGGAACCCCAGUGGCGAAAGCGACUCUCUGGCCUAUAACUGACGCUGAGGCGCGAAAGCGAGGGGAACAAACAGA